AAUUCUCUUCUUAUUUGUUUCGAACGAGAGGGUCAUUCUUUUGAUUCAGUAGAGAGAGAAAUUUUUAUUAUUUGUACGUACAAAGUUCGAUUGAAAUUCACUGAGUUCUGACGAGUCUGAUUGCUGAUUCAAAGAAGGUCAAGAUUUUUUAGUAAUGAAGAUGUUAGCGAUUUCGCUGGUUAUUGUUAUGUUCGUUGUACUACCUAAUGUUGUUGUCAUAGGCGAUAAGGUUGUUUACAGUGUUGAGCCACCGAAUCACGACAAAAGAGCCGGUCUGAGGCCCCCGCCACCCCCUAAGUCAUACCCUCCGAUCCAUUGGAAGCGAGAGAGAUUCAUCCCCGAAACGCCACCGCCACAGUCAUACUGAUUAGUGGCGUACACAAGAUUUUGUGCGAGUGAUAUCAACUCAUCGUCAUAAGUUUGAAUUGUAGUAAGGACUAAGCUUUACCCUCCUAUCGACUAGUGAUGGGUGAGGUUCGUCCCACCAAAGCCACCACCAACAUUAUGGUGUUUUUAGUUAUGUACACGAUAUUUUGUGCAAGUGAUGUCAGCUUUUCGUCAUAAUUUGACUUGUAAUAAGGUCCACUUGCAUGGAUACGGUUGGACUGCAGGCUCGUGACAGUUUCGACAGCUCCUCGUUCGUUUUGUUCUUUCGUUAUUGCUACUAUUUUUUUCUUCAUUAUUUUCGACAUGACUUCUUCACUGUAUUUUCUUUUCAAACUUAUUUUGAAAUGCUUUACUUGAGCCUUACUUGAGCCGAGGGUUUAACGGAAACAACCAAGAUAGAGAUAAGGUAUGCAUACGCACCAGUGUAUUCAGUAGUAGAGCCAGAAUUUUUACUAUGAGGGUUUCAAAGUAAAUAUACGAACUAGCCGAAGGGGGUUCAACGUCAACUAUAUAUUCAUAAAAAAUAAUUUUAACCAUGUAUAAAUGGUAUAAUUUUCCGUCGAAGGACGUUCGUCAAGGUGGCUCCGCCCCUGAGUGCACCCUCCUCAUAUCUCACUUAUGAGAUUAUACCGGAUAUAUUAUAACUUGAGCCGAGGGUCUAUCGGAAAUAAUCUCUCUGCGAUGUAAGAUAAAGUCUACAUACACACAAUCACACUACUGUACCCUCCUCAGAUUCCGCUUAUGACAUUACACCGAAUACGUUGUUGUUGUAUAUGAAUAAUUAUAUUGCUUCUUACGCGUAUUCUUGAAAAGCUUCUUUGUUCCUUUGUUCAAUUUGCAAACAAAUUGGUCCACUUUUUUUCCACACAAAAAUCUAAAAAUUUUCAAACUUUAUGCAUCAAUAUGUCAACAAGAAAAGUAUAAUAUAAUUAAUUUUCCCCUUGAGUGGAAAUUGAACCCCCCAUUGCUCUAUAUAUAUAUUUGCUUCACUUAUUCACUACUAUUUCACAAAAAUUAAAUUAAGAAAUUCUCUCUAUCUUCUUAUUUGUUUUGAACGAGUCAUUCUUUUGAUUCAGUAGAGCGUGAAAUUUCUAUUAUUUGUACGUACAAAGUUCAUUUCAAAUCCACUGAGUUCUGACGAAUUUGAUUACUGAUUCAGGAAGGCCAAGAUUUUUUUAGUAAUGAAGAUAAUAGCUAUUUCUUUGGUUAUUGUUAUGUUUGUUUUACUACCUAAUGUUGUUGUCAUAGGCAAUAAGGUUGUGGGUAGUGCUGAGCCACCGAGUCACGACAAAAGAGUCGGUCUGAGGCCCCCGCCACCCCUAAGUCAUACCCUCCCGUCCAUAUGAAGCAUGCAAGGUUCAUCCCCCAAACGCCACCGCCAGUAUCAUACUAAUUAGUUGCGUACAUGAGAUUUUGUGCAAGUGAUGUCAACUCAUCGUCAUAAGUUUGAAUUGUACUAAGGGCCAAGCCUCACCCUCCUAUCGACUAGUGGUGGGUGAGGUUCGUCCCACCAAAGCCACCACCA
rnacentral:lncRNA from 1 species